GAUGAACGCUGGCGGCGUGCCUAAUACAUGCAAGUCGAGCGAACAGAUAAGGAGCUUGCUCCUUUGACGUUAGCGGCGGACGGGUGAGUAACACGUGGGUAACCUACCUAUAAGACUGGGAUAACUUCGGGAAACCGGAGCUAAUACCGGAUAAUAUUUCGAACCGCAUGGUUCGAUAGUGAAAGAUGGUUUUGCUAUCACUUAUAGAUGGACCCGCGCCGUAUUAGCUAGUUGGUAAGGUAACGGCUUACCAAGGCGACGAUACGUAGCCGACCUGAGAGGGUGGUCGGCCACACUGGAACUGAGACACGGUCCAGACUCCUACGGGAGGCAGCAGUAGGGAAUCUUCCGCAAUGGGCGAAAGCCUGACGGAGCAACGCCGCGUGAGUGAUGAAGGUCUUCGGAUCGUAAAACUCUGUUAUUAGGGAAGAACAUACGUGUAAGUAACUGUGCACGUCUUGACGGUACCUAAUCAGAAAGCCACGGCUAACUACGUG
rnacentral:rRNA from 1 species